GUUGGCGGCGGGAGAGUAACGCGUGGAGACGUACCCACAGGCCCGGGAGAGCUGCGGGAGGCUGCAGGUAAUACCGGAGAACAACCACGGAUCAAAGGUGUGAAAUACCUGAGGAGCGGUCCGCGUCCUACAGCUUGUUGGUGGGGUAACGGCCUACCAAGGCGAUGAUGGGUACCGGGUGUGAGAGCAUGGCCCGGCUCACUGGGACUGAGACACUGCCCAGACACCUACGGGUGGCUGCAGUCGAGAAUCUUCCGCAAUGGGCGAAAGCCUGACGGAGCGACGCCGCGUGCGGGAUGAAGGCCUUUCGGGUUUGUAAACCGCUGUCAGUAGGGAGUAAGUGAAGGGGGUCAUCCCCCUGGAACUGAACUAUCCCUCAGUAGGAAGGACGGGCUAAGUUCGUGCCAGCAGCCGCGGUAAGACGAACCGUCCAAACGUUAUUCGGAAUCACUGGGCUUAAAGGGUGCGUAGGCGGCUCUGCAAGUUGGGGUGUGAAAGCCCCACGGCUCAACCGUGGAAUUGCGCUCAAAACUGCAGGACUUGAGGGAGAAUAGAGGUGAGCGGGAACUUAUGGGUGGGAAGCGGGUGAAAUGCGUUGAUUAUCAUAAGAACCACCGGUUGGCGAAAGCGGCUUCACUGGGUCUUCUUCUGACGCUGAAGGCACGAAAGCUAAGGGUAGCGAACAGGAUUAGAUACCCCUGGUAGUCCUAGCUGGUA
rnacentral:rRNA from 1 species